rnacentral:lncRNA from 10 species
CUUCUGCCGUGAUUGUGAGGUCUCUCCAGCCAUGUGGAACUGCUAAAGGAAUAUCUUGAGCUUUCAUUGUGUAAUUGUGAGUGGGACCAGUACCAGAACCGUUUUCUGAGGAAAGCUGGACCCAGACCAGGGGACUCCCUCAGCCUAUUUCUGUGCAAAGAAGAGGGUCUCACUGUGUUGCCCAGGCUGGAGCGCAGCCACGAUUCACAAGGAUGAGCAUAGCACACUGCAGCCUCGAACUCCUGGGUUCAAGUGAUCCUCCCACUUCAGCCUCCCAAGCAGCUGGUACUACAGGCAUGCACCACCAUGCCUCGCUUUGCUAAAUCUUAUUGAAUUAUUUUUGCCAGGAAGCAUAAAUCCAAAUUCCUGGUGACCAACUCUCAAAGGAGUGCCUUGAGGACAGGAGCCACUGAUUUCUCCUUGUGUUUCAAAUUCUAUCCCAGAAACAAGCCAAAUCAUGAGGACCAGCAUAGUAUGGGUCUUCAUGACGCACACUUUCUGAAUUGAUCUCAGAUGCUCUGGCUCUUGCAUCUUGUUGGGCUAACUAAAUAGCUGGGUGAUGAUCACUGUUGAAUUUAUACCCACUGGCAAGUCUCCUCCUUUGUGUCUUGUAUAAAGCCUAUUUUGCCUGCUGUUUGGUGGGUAACAGUUGCAGUGGCAGAAACCAGGGGAGUUUGCCUUAUGUUCUCUGGUCUUGGUGGCCACCUGCUGGUUGGUUAUUCCCUCUGAUUGGUCAUUUGCCAUUAAGUGGGUUGGUGACAAUGGAUAUUUGUGGAACAGUUGUCCACCAUUUUCUGAAUACCUACUCAAAGAUCUGUUACUGAACGCCAGGGGUUUGGUCUAGGUCCCAUUGUUUGCCCCACAAAAAGAAACAACGUGUGUUGCCAGGGAACAAGGCUUUAUUAUUUUAUGGGUGAUGUCAACCAGGGAGAUGGGAGCCAAGUCUCAAAUCCAUCCCUCCCUCUCAACUAAGGUCAGGGGUUUACAUAGCUGGGAAGGAAAACAGAAGGGGCAAGGAAGAGGAGUUGGUCAACAGGCAGCAGGUGGUUGAAUGAAGGGUCCAGCGUCUUAUUGUAACCACGUAUAAGAAAAUAGGAAUUAGGGAGGGGUAAGAAGGGGAAUUGAUCAACAGGCAACAGAUGCAUCUCAUUGUCUGGGUGCAGUGAUCUAGAAAGCCUCAGCUCCCCGAUGGCAUCUGAGAGGCCUGGCGAUCGGUUUCCUGAGAAAAGAUGGAAGUGUAAAAUUGGGCUGGCUUCGGAUCUUUUCUUCUGAUUGUUGCCUUGUUUCCUAAAUAUCUCCUCCCACGGUCCUCCUUGUGGUUCCCUUCCACAGUCCUCAUUGCUCAGUACUGCCUCUUUUCUUUUUUCUUUUCUUUUCUUUGAGACACACUCUCGCUGUGUCACCCAGGCUGGAGUGCAGUGGGACGAUCUCAGCUCACUGAAACCUCUGCCUCCCAGGUUCAAGUGAUUCUCCUGCUUCAGCCUCAUGAGCAGCUGGGACUACAGGCACACGCCACCAUGCCCGGGUAAUUUUUGUAUUUUUAAUAGAGAUGAGGUUUCACCAUGUUGGCCAGGCUGGCCUUGAACUCCUGACCUCGAGUGAUCUGCCUGCCUCGGCCUCCCAAAGUGCUGGGAUUACAGGCAUGAGCUACCGCAUCCAGCCCAGCAUGGCCCAUUUCUUCCACAGAACAACAUCAUUCAUGAGGGAUAAAAGCAUUCUGGUCCCAGGCCCUUCUGCUUUCUCAGGCUUCUCUCUCCUGGCUCUCACCAGUCUCUGUAUCCACUCCAACUUCUACUGACUUCUCAGGAGGGAAAGCUGAACACUAGUCUCAGUUUAGGCAAGGAGGAGGCAGUGGUGGAGCUUUAGCUCUAUUUGAGGUAUCUAAAGCCAAGCAUGUUUCCCUAUUAGGCUCAACUACCCAUUAUGUACAAAUGGGACUUCAACACACAUGUCAAGUACAGUGGAACCAAACCUAGUUUAAUCUAGGCUUAAUUCCAGUUGGAAGUGAGGAUUUCUACUUUCACAUGCUUCUUCCUGUCUCAAAUCUCAGCUCUAGAUCUCCUAAAACCAGUUGUUCAAAUGGCUUGGGGCAUUUUUUUCAAGAUGAUUUCCACGGGAAAAAUUAUACAAUUUUGAUAAGAGAUUUAAAAAGAGAACCUGAAUUAAUGGAGAGACAUAUCAUGUUUAUGGAAAGGAAAAAAAAUAUAAUAAAGACACCAAUUGUUCCCAACUUGAAUUAUAGAUUCAAUGCAAUUGAAAUCAAAACCGUAAAACUUUCUAUGCUUAUUUCACCACUUAUAUGGAAGGGUAAAGGGUCAAAAGUAGCCAGAAUGCUUCUGAAGUAGCAGGUAUCAGAACUUACUAUGAAGCUGUUGAAGGAAACUAAAAUAUUUCACUCCCAAAUAUAUUUUCUUGAUUUAUUUUGAAAUGGCUGCUGCAGGGCCAGCAGAUUGAGUUGGGAGGGUAUUGCAUCUGUAGAGAAUCCUCAUUAAUGUAGCCAGACCUUCCCUUUCUAGGCAUUUCCCAGCCCUAGGUGAGGUUAACUGAGUCUGGCACCUUUAAAGGUCUGAAGAGAGACAUUUACCAUCUAUUCUCUGAGGACUGCUAUCUAUGAGGCUUCAGCCACAUAACAAGGCCACCUUUGCUAGCCAGGCCACCUCCUUUUAAACCUCUCAUUAAACCUGAUUUACCAACAUAACCUGUUCUUGGCCAUGUUCUGAGCCCUCACUCUCUCUAUAACCUCAAGAUGGUAUAUAAGCUUCUGUACCUUAUUGUCAGGUUGGGUCUUCCUUCUGAAGACUCCUGUGUAUUGUGCCUUUGCAAGUUGAUUUUUCAGUGAAACUUCAGAGGGCCAAGAUUCCCCCUUGGCUCCCACACUGUAGUGAUUAAGAUAGUGAGAUAACAGCAGGGGGAUAGAUAUGGGGUAGAUAUAUACAUCAUAUCAAAGUACUCCCCAAGUUCUUAUUGAUUAGAUAUUAAGUAAUAAGUUCAAAAUUAUUAUAUAACUUUAUAGUAGAGAAGUUUGGCAUACAUCAAAUUAACCAGGUAUUAAAAGUUCACUGCGCCAGUAAUGGGACAAAUCAACGUCAUGUGCCUCCUCAUGUGCUGCACCGAGAAGGACACAGUAUCACUUCAGCAGUGUUCUGGGGCCAAAAAUGUAAAACCUCAAGUUGCUUAUGAGUAAACCCCAGCCAAACUCAAAACAAUGGACAUUCUACAAAGCAACUGGCCUGUACUUUUCACAGGCAUUGAGGUCAUGAAAGACAAGACAGAAGAGCUGCUCCAGAGUGAAGAAGACCGAGGAGAGCAAAGACCACCACGAGGCCAUCAAGCAGACAAUCCAGAGACAAAACUCCUUUUCUGAGGAAUUCAAGAGUAAUUAGACUUCUCUAUUAUCUAAAGCUGACAUCUGGUAGCAGGCUUCUUUCACCCCAAAUGUAUAAGUAAUUAGAACUUCUAUACAUCUCUGGAAUGCAUGCAUGUUGAAACUGACUGUGUGACCCUUGAUGACAUCAAGGCACCCAAAUGUCUACAAAUGUAAUCACUUAUCAUGACUAUGUGGCUAAUAUGGUUUAAAUUACCCUUAACUCCCACUUUAAGGUCCAUAAAUACCCCUAAGGAAAAAAUCCACCAUGGUGCACUCAGUCCUCUCUUGCUGAGAUGCCCGGCUGUACUCUUCUGUAGCAUUCCAUCUAUCAAAACUUUCCUUUUCAAAACCAUGCUGUUGUGGAUAAAUUAUUCUUACUCCCUGUGAGUCAGUCACUUUCCAUUGCUGAGGCUCUGACACCUCGCCUGACAGAGAUGUGGAACUCUUUGCAGUAUUCAAUCCUGGACUACACCCUGGACCAUGAGGGAGACAAUUGGCAAAAUCUAAAUGGAGCAUGUGGAUUUGAUAGUAUUAUAUCAAUGUUAUUUUCCUGAUUUUGAUGGUUGUAUUUGCCUGUGUAGAAGACCAUCUCUAUUUUUAGGAAAUAUAUACUAAAGUAUUGAUGAAUAAUAUUGCCUCAUAUUUGAAACUUACUCUGAAAUGGUUCAGAGAAAAAAAAUCACGCAUACAUAGGAAGAGAAAAGGGUGAGAGAGAGAAAGGGGGGUAAGAGAAAGAAUAAAAAUUAUAAGGUAAAUGUGAUAAGAUGUUAACGGCUAUGGAAUUUGGGUAAAGGAUAGAGACAGAAAUGCUUUGUAUUUUUCUCUCAACUUUUCUGAAAGUUUGUUAUUUUAAAAUAAAAGGUUAAAAGAAUAUAUCGAGAACUCUUACAAAUAAUAAGAAAAACAUGAAUGAUACAACAUAAAAAUGGAGGUGAAACAUGAACAAACAUUCUGCACAAGAGGAUAUACGUGUGGCAAAUAAAGCCACAAUGACAUUUUUGACAUCAUUGGCAAUCCCAGUUAAGACCAUAGUGAGGUACCAUGUACCGUUUUGCAUUUAACUGCCAAAUGUUUUAAAAUCUGAAAAUACCAAGUGUUUGAAAGGCUUUGGUUUCAAAUGAUUUGUUAUACAUUUCUGAAAGGAGUGUAAUUUGUUGCUGUCAUUCUAAAUGACAUUUUGUCACUCUCUCAGAGUUGAACAUUUGCAUACUGGGUGUGACCUAGCAAUUCCACCCCUAAGUACAUACCUAGGAAAAUCUCUCAUAUACACCUAUACCUGGAGAUAUGCACAGCAUACUCACAGCAGUGACACUUAUAAUAGGGAAAACCUAAAUGCCCAUUGGUGGAAGAGUGGCAAAAGAACUGUGGUACAUUCACACCACAGAACAUUGUAGAGCAGCUAAAACAAAGGAACUCUAAGAUGGAAGAAUUUUAACAAUAUAAUAGAAAAUGAAAAAGGAAGCCAUUCCCCA